AUACAGAGGGUGCAAGCGUUAAUCGGAAUCACUGGGCGUAAAGCGUGCGUAGGUGGUCUGUUAAGUCAGGUGUGAAAGCCCUGGGCUCAACCUAGGAAUUGCAUUUGAUACUGGCAGACUAGAGUGUGGUAGAGGGUAGUGGAAUUCCCGGUGUAGCGGUGAAAUGCGUAGAUAUCGGGAGGAACAUCAGUGGCGAAGGCGGCUACCUGGACCAACACUGACACUGAGGUACGAAAGCGUGGGGAGCAAACAGGAUUAGAUACCCCAGUAGUCC
rnacentral:rRNA from 1 species